GACAGAGGCCUCGAGCGUUAGGCGGAAUCACUGGGCUUAAAGCGUGUGUAGGCGGAUGCCUAAGUACCUUGUGAAAUCCCACGGCUCACCCGUGGAACCGCUGGGUAUACUGGGCAUCUUGGGCCAUUCAGGGGCAACUGGAACAAGCGGUGGAGCGGUGAAAUGCGUAGAUAUCGCUUGGAACGCCGACGGUGAAAACAGGUUGCUGGGAAUGCGCCGACGCUGAGACACGAAAGCCAGGGGAGCAAACGGG
rnacentral:rRNA from 1 species